CACGUUAGCGCGCUUUCCUGACGUGCACACAAAUCGCGCUUUCGUGGAUGCGCUUUGUUGCCUCGUCAGCAAAGCGCGCUGACGUGG
rfam:Gossypium raimondii chromosome 4, whole genome shotgun sequence.